rnacentral:tRNA from 1 species
CAAGAAAAGGUCAGGAUAGCUCAGUUGGUAGAGCAGAGGAC